rnacentral:rRNA from 1 species
GACGAACCGUGCGAACGUUAUUCGGAAUCACUGGGCUUAAAGCGCGUGUAGGCGGAAGGGCACGUCUGGUGCUGAAAUCCCCCGGCUCAACCGGGGAACGGGCACGGAUACGACUCUUCUGGAGGAACGUAGGGGGACCUGGAACUUCCGGUGGAGCGGUGAAAUGCGUAGAUAUCGAGAGGAACACCUGCGGCGAAGGCGGGUUGCUGGGCUGAUACUGACGCUGAGGCGCGAAAGCCAGGGGAGCGAACGGG